rnacentral:rRNA from 1 species
CCUACGGGGGGCAGCAGUGGGGGAUAUUGCACAAUGGGGGAAACCCUGAUGCAGCGACGCCGCGUGGGUGAAGAAGUAUUUCGGUAUGUAAAGCCCUAUCAGCAGGGAAGAAAGAAGACGGUACCUGACUAAGAAGCCCCGGCUAACUACGUGCCAGCAGCCGCGGUAAUACGUAGGGGGCGAGCGUUAUCCGGAUUCACUGGGUGUAAAGGGAGCGUAGACGGCCGUGCAAGCCAGGAGUGAAAGCCCGGGGCCCAACCCCGGGACUGCUCUUGGAACUGUGCGGCUGGAGUGCGGGAGGGGCAGGCGGAAUUCCUGGUGUAGCGGUGAAAUGCGUAGAUAGCAGGAGGAACACCGGCGGCGAAGGCGGCCUGCUGGACCGCGACUGACGUUGAGGCUCGAAAGCGUGGGGAGCGAACAGGAUUAGAUACCCUAGUAGUC